rnacentral:rRNA from 1 species
UACGGAGGGGGCUAGCGUUGUUCGGAAUUACUGGGCGUAAAGCGCACGUAGGCGGCUUUGUAAGUUAGAGGUGAAAGCCCGGGGCUCAACUCCGGAAUUGCCUUUAAGACUGCAUCGCUAGAAUUGUGGAGAGGUAAGUGGAAUUUCGUGUGUAGGGGUGAAAUCCGUAAAUAUACGAAGGAACGCCAAAAGCGAAGGCAGCUCUCUGGGUCCCUACCGACGCUGGGGUGCGAAAGCAUGGGGAGCGAACAGG